rnacentral:rRNA from 1 species
AACGGCAUGGUUCUUAGAUCGUACCCACGUUACUUGGAUAACUGUGGUAAUUCUAGAGCUAAUACAUGCCGACAGAGUUCCGACCAGCUGUUCGGAUGUGCGACGGCCUCGCGUCGUUCGUCGCCGUUCGGUUCGGAAGGAACGCUUUUAUUAGAUCAAAACCGGCUAAACGGCGGUUUCGCUCUUGCAGCGUUUACCGUCGUAAGCGGCCCGCGCAAAGAUUUGGUGACUCUGAAUAACUUCGAGCUGAUCGCACGGUCUUCGUACCGGCGACGUAUCUUUCAAAUGUCUGCCUUAUCAACUGUCGACGGUAGGUUCGACGCCUACCGUGGUGGUAACGGGUAACGGGGAAUCAGGGUUCGAUUCCGGAGAGGGAGCCUGAGAAACGGCUACCACAUCUAAGGAAGGCAGCAGGCGCGCAAAUUACCCACUCCCAGCUCGGGGAGGUAGUGACGAAAAAUAACGAUACGGGACUCAUUCGAGGCCCCGUAAUCGGAUAAAUUACACUUA